AAAAGGAUACGGAUUUGGAAGUGGAGAGGCCCUGAGGGACGGGCCGCGGCCCAUAGGUCAAAAUAGUCCCAAAGAAAAUCUUUACACGUCACUAUGUGUUAAAGUGAGAUGGCGGCCUCAGCCUCCGUGCAGCGGCUGCUCGGCUGCAACUGCGUGGAGGGUGGAGACGCCGCUGCGGCGGCGGAGGCGGGGUCGGCGCGCGCGGAGGAUAGGUCGUUGCCGGGGCGCAAGAGGCAGGGGCGGGCGGCGCGUCUGGCGGUGGUCGGGUGGUGAUCAGGUUAAGCUCUUCCUGAUCCAAACAAAGGCUCGUGUCGUGGCGUCGGGCGCCCUGAGGCCUAGCCGCUGCCUUAGAGCUAGCUAGCUAGCUGACCAAGCCGGCGACUUGAGUUGAGCAGAGGUUUAUCUCGGUCCCCCCUAAGAACUGGCGGAGCAACCAGCAACGAAUGGCGCGAGCAGAAGCGUUACCCCUCGAGGAGGCGCACGCUGCCCUGAGACAGUGAGCUGCUCAAGUUGCGGAGUCGCUUCCGGGACCAGUGGUUCACCUCCCCCUAACUACAGCUGCGAGAAGGGCUGACCCUCACCUCCGGAACGGCGUUCUACCCCCACGGUAGACUCUGUCUCCCCAAACAUCGGGAGCUUCCUCAGAUAGCUUAAGCACGUCCUUCGGUCUAACUCCUCUCGUCACUGCUGGGACAGGGACUACUACUACAACAUCCCGUACUAUGGAGCCAAGUCUCGAGAUCCCUAUUACAAGUAGAAAUACUAAAGGUAUAACAGAUGUCGAAAAGAAUGUUCCAAGGCCACGAUAUGAAAGUUCCAGAAGUCCGACCACCCGUCGACGAUUGAAAUCUACUCUAUUUUUUCCUAGAAGGAGGAGUAAGUGAAGUCAACAAUUUGCUUAGUUUCACCUGUAAAUAAUGAGCUCUCCUCGUAGGGGUGGAUUCAUCCGGUACCAAGUGGGACGUAGGUACACCUUGGUCACUGACCUACUUCAACGAAGAAGUAUUUGACCCUCUAUUUCUAGCUAGAGACGUUAUGAACGGUCGUACCAAUAGACACCGGCCAGUCCGUCAUCCUAACUUUUAGGGCGAAUUCGAAAUAACGUCAAGUAUCCAAGUGAGAAGAGGUGAUACAUCAUGAUGAUAAAACCACUCAUUUUACCCUUCACAGGUGGAGAAUAAAACGAAACGUAUACAAGUUUGUAAAGAGAACCAUUAAACUGGUAAAACGUCACAUUAUUGAUUAAAAUAACGUAUACGUGCUUACCGUGUCAACGUGUAUGACGCCGUAUCAACGUCGAAAUUGUACUACUAAAUAGGAACCC
rnacentral:rRNA from 1 species